AUCUCUUUUCGGCGUUUUGGCUAAGAUCAAGUAUAAUAUUUGUUCUUAUUAGUAUAACAUUUGCUACGUUCUCUGUCCGAGGACAAUAUGUUAAGUGGGUUUUUGGAGUAGGGAGAGGGGCUCGUUCCAUCCAUUUCACGCAUCGACGUGGUGUUGCGGUACUACCGGGCCCGGUGCAUCCUUU
ensembl:snRNA U2 U2 spliceosomal RNA